GAAGAUAAUAAAUUUGUACGUAUGUAUUAAUUUUAGCACUCGUCUCUUUCAACCCUUAAUCUACAACGCCACUAAUGGUACGCCACAACGGCAUAAGGUUUACCAACCGAUUAGGCCCAUAAACGAUAGUGAAAGAGAUGAUAAUACUUACCCCAAGUGAUGAUGCUUAUUGGGAGGGUAAAGACGAAGGCAAUUACAGAUGCAAAGAUAAGUCCCCACCAUGGCAUCUGAACUUGAUCAU